UAACACGUAGGGGGCGAGCGUUGUUCGGAAUUACUGGGCGUAAAGGGCAUGUAGGCGGCUCUGUAAGCCUGGCGUGAAAGUCACCGGCUCAACCGGUGGAUUGCGCUGGGAACUGCGGGGCUUGAAUCAUGGAGAGGGAGCUAGAAUUCCAGGUGUAGGGGUGAAAUCUGUAGAGAUCUGGAAGAAUACCAGUGGCGAAGGCGAGCUCCUGGCCAAUGAUUGACGCUGAGGUGCGAAAGUGUGGGGAUCAAACAGG
rnacentral:rRNA from 1 species